GACGUAGGGCGCGAGCGUUGUCCGGAUUUAUUGGGCGUAAAGAGCUCGUAGGCGGCUUGUCGCGUCGACUGUGAAAACCCGUGGCUCAACCAUGUGGUCUGCAGUCGAUACGGGCAGGCUAGAAUUCGGUAGGGGAGACUGGAAUUCCUGGUGUAGCGGUGAAAUGCGCAGAUAUCAGGAGGAACACCGGCGGCGAAGGCGGGUCUCUGGGCCGAUAUUGACGCUGAGGAGCGAAAGCGUGGGGAGCGAACAGG
rnacentral:rRNA from 1 species